UACAGAGGGUGCUAGCGUUGUUCGGAAUGACUGGGCGUAAAGGGCGCGUAGGCGGUUUAUCAAGUCAGAUGUGAAAGCCCCGGGCUUAACCUGGGAACGGCAUUUGAUACUGGUUGACUGGAGGGCGAGAGAGGAAAGCGGAAUUCCUAGUGUAGAGGUGAAAUUCGUAGAUAUUAGGAGGAACACCAGAGGCGAAGGCGGCUUUCUGGCUCGCAACUGACGCUGAGGCGCGAAAGCGUGGGGAGCAAACAGG
rnacentral:rRNA from 1 species